AAGGUUUUAAGUUAACAAAACUGUUAGCCUUCAAAGUUAAAAAUAAAUUCAUAUUUAAACCUUA
rnacentral:tRNA from 1 species